rnacentral:lncRNA from 1 species
CAGGUCCUACAGCCCUUAGCAAUUCUUAACACCUCCAGGUACGAAGAUCACGAGUCCACUAGAGAGGGAACGCCAGCUACUCCCUUUUCGCAAAGGAUGAAAAAAAUUGGUGAAUCUCAUCGCUCCAACAAGUACCUUGGGAGGCCAUGGUGGGUGGAGAACACCACACUAGUGUGCAUGCUAAGACAGGGAGAGGAAUGGAUCUAACUCUAGGACAGCGUUACCAUGGUCUUGCUUAUAGUUUAAUGGAGCCAGUGAGGUGGUGCAGCAGACAAAGACACUUGUCGCCAAGCCUGAGGACCUGAAUUCUAUCCCUGAGACUCACGGUAUGCGAAGAGAUCCAACCUUUCAGAGUUGUCCUCUGACAUCCACACAGGCACUGUGGCAUGC